AACUUACACUUUAAUAUAAACCUUUGGUGCGUGCCCAUUUAUUCCGUCUUCUGUCCUGUGACUGCGGCCAGGUGUUUCAGUCUCACAUUUUAUCUCUGGAUUCUCCCCUUCCCCUCUGUGGUGAUCAAGACCCAAAGACAGGGAGCCUGGAAGAUAAACUGAGUUCUGAAUCCAGUCGAAAGCACAGAUGGGGGCCAGCGAGAAUUAAUAAAACUACAAAAAAAAAAAAAAA
rnacentral:lncRNA from 1 species